AUGCAGGGCGUCGGUGACCAGGGAGGAGGCAUGGAGAUGAGCUUCGGGGGUGGGGGCGGCCGCGGGGAGUGCUCGUCGUCGUCCGCGGCGGCGGUGGCGGUCGCGGCGGCGUCGGCGGCCGAGGCGGAGGAGCGGCAGCUGCUCAAGGGGGAGAUGGCGGUGCACCCGCUUUGCGAGCAGCUGGUGGCGGCGCACGUCGGGUGCCUGCGCGUGGCCACCCCCAUCGACCACCUCCCGCUCAUCGACGCGCAGCUCGCGCAGUCCAGCGGCCUCCUCCACUCCUACUCCGCCCACCACCGCCCCUUCCUCUCCCCGCACGACAAGCAGGAGCUCGACUCCUUCCUCGCGCAGUACCUGAUGCUGCUGUGCUCGUUCAGGGAGCAGCUGCAGCAGCACGUCCGGGUGCACGCCGUGGAGGCCGUCAUGGCGUGCCGGGAGAUCGAGCAGUCCCUGCAGGACCUGACUGGUGCGUCUUUGGAGGAAGGAACGGGGGCGACAAUGUCCGAGGACGAGGAUGAGGGGCCGCCGAUGAUCAUGGAGGCGGCACCCAUGGAUAUGAGCUCGAAUGGACACGACAUGAUGGGCUUCGGCCCUCUGGUACCCACGGACACAGAGCGUUCCCUCAUGGAGAGGGUCAGGCAAGAACUCAAAAUUGAACUCAAACAGGGUUUCAAGUCAAGGAUUGGAGACGUGAGGGAGGAGAUACUCCGGAAGAGGAGGGCCGGGAAGUUGCCUGGGGACACCACCACCAUACUGAAGCAAUGGUGGCAGGAACACGCCAAGUGGCCCUACCCUACGGAAGACGAUAAGGCCAAGCUUGUUGAAGAGACUGGCCUGCAGCUGAAGCAAAUCAACAACUGGUUCAUCAAUCAGAGGAAGCGCAACUGGCACAACAACUCCCAGACAUCAACCCUCAAAUCAAAGCGUAAAAGGUAG
rnacentral:rRNA from 1 species